CAGAGGGUAGUUUAAU
rnacentral:tRNA from 2 species